GUGUUGUAUGAAAGAAGAGAAGGUUAGCACUCCCCUUGACAAGGAUGGAAGAGGCUCUCGGGCCUGACAACACGAAAUUCAGGCUCCCAAGACUUUCU
rnacentral:ncRNA from 1 species